UACGGAGGGUGCAAGCGUUAUCCGGAUUUAUUGGGUUUAAAGGGUGCGCAGGCGGCGUGUCAAGCAAGCGGUAAAAUAGCGGGGCUCAACCCCGUCGAGCCGUUUGAACUGGCGCGCUUGAGUUCAGGCGAGGUAGGCGGAAUUCGUGGUGUAGCGGUGAAAUGCAUAGAUAUCACACAGAACACCGAUUGCGAAGGCAUCUGACGAAUCGGAGAUUGACGCUGAUGCACGAGAGCAUGGGUAGCGAACAGG
rnacentral:rRNA from 1 species